rnacentral:rRNA from 1 species
GAUGAACGCUGGCCGCGUGCCUAAUACAUGCAAGUCGAGCGAACAGACGAGGAGCUUGCUCCUCUGCCGUUAGCUGCGGACGUGUGAGUAACACGUGGAUAACCUACCUAUAAGACUGGUAUAAGUUCGGGAAACCGGAUCUAAUCCCGUAUAAUAUAUUGAACCGCAUGGUUCAUUAUUGAAAGACGGUUUUGCUAUCACUUAUAGAUGGAUCCGCGCCGCAUUAGCUAGUUGUCAAGGUAACGGCUUACCAAAGCCACGAUGCGUACCCGACCUGAGCGGGUGCUCGCCCACACUGGAACUGAGACACGGUCCAGACUCCUACGGGAGGCAGCAGUAGGGAAUCUUCCGCAAUGGGCGAAAGCCUGACGGAGCACCGCCGCGUGAGUGAUGAAGGUUUUCGGAUCGUAAAACUCUGUUAUUAGGGACGAACAAAUGUCUAAGUAACUAUGCACGUCUCGACGGUACCUAAUCAGAAAGCAACGGCUACCUACGUG